UCCCUGGUGGUCCAGUGGUUAGGAUUCUGGGUUUUCACUACCACAGCCCAGGUUCAGUCCCUGGUUGGGGAA
rfam:Ovis aries breed Texel chromosome 1, whole genome shotgun sequence.